AUUAAUCCCCUCACUAUCAAUCCCCUCACUAUUAAUCCCCUCACUAUCAAUCCACUCCAUUCUAUCUCCCAAAACAAACGGAGCCUAAGAUCCUUAGGUGAAGUCUUAAAAUUGGGGCUUUUUUAUGUAUAGGAAAACAAAAAUACCAUCUGUCCACAAUUUUAUCCCGAAAAGCUGUAUAAUGUAGAUUCAAAGGUAGUGUAAUGUGAGCCACACCUAGAAUGAAUGUGAUUCAUAAACAUGUGUUUCUAAGUUAAUUCUUACGAGUAUGUAGUAUUAUUGUAUACAUAAUCACCAAAAAUUAAGGUUUGUGGGUAACAUGGUAGCAUGAUCUAUAUAUGACAAUGCAUUAGCUAUCUACUCGAGCCAUUGUAAGAUGGAAUUCCAACCUCCACCCAACAAGCGAUGAAUAACCUUUGUUUUUAUGUGAAAAAGUUAGUAAAAUACGUUAAAAUGUAUAAAAUGUUGGGAGAAAUUCUAGAGACCACAUGUAUAAUGCCAGGGUCUAACAUACAAUGUUUAGAAUUCGUUUUCACUUAAAAACUUAAGCUCUACAAGUGAAGAUUCCCAUCCAUUGUAUAUUAAAAUCACUCCAUUUAAUUUUUUUAUCAUAUAUAACACCUUACCUUCAUACAUGCUUUAACAUAAAAUAUGUGUUAUAGUUUUAAUUUAAUCUUAUUUUUUGCUUCUAUUCACAUCUUAACCAACACACUAUUAGCAAGGUUAGACAACUUUUAAGAUUGAGUUACAUUACAUAUUGGAACAUUGAAAUUUAUAAGUGAUUUCAGUCAGAAAAUUUUACAAUAAAAAACAAGUUUAACCAUCAGAAGCAUACACUUGGCCCAACAUUGAGCCUUGUAACUUUAACCAUGAAAAAGGCCACACUCGACUUGGAUCGGCUUGUGUAGUCAUUUCUUUUUGGUGAAAAAACCUCAAAACUUUUGGGAAAAUUUAUUGCUUGAGACAUUGGUGCGCCGCAGAAUGUUGUCAUUGAAACCUCCUCCACCACCCAUUCCCACUCCCAAUGGAGCCUUAACAAACACUCGGUUCUCCGACCCCACUCUCUGAAUUGCUUCGCGAAGCUCUAACCCCAGUUUCGAGUUCUGCACCCCAGUUCAGGCCGCCACCAUCCCCUUGCUUUGUAGCUCCAACGACGUCGCUGUUGAUCCUGCCACCGGUUUUGGCAAAACCCUAGCCUUCGUCAUCCCCAUCGUUGAGCUCCUUUGCCACUCCUCCACUCCCCCCAAACCUCACUAGGUAAUGGGGAUCAUAAUAUCUCCUACAAGAGAGUUGUCUUCACAAAUAUACCAUGUUGCCCAACCUUUCAUUUCAACAUUGUCGAAUGUUAGCUCCAUGCUUCUUGUUGGGGGAGCAGAAGUAAAAGGAGACAUAAAGAAAAUAGAGGAGGAAGGAGCAAAUUUGUUGAUUGGCACACCUGGAAGGCUACAUGACAUAAUGGAACGCAUGGAUAUUUUGGACUUUAGAAAUCUUGAGUUACAGGGGUGGGUAAGCAUCCAUCCGAUCCAUCAAAAUUGAAUGGUCCAAACCGAUCCGCCACAGGAUGGACGGUUUCAAAUCAAUGGUCCAAGUGGAUGGAUGUGGAUGCAUUUUUCUCAAUCUGCCUAAGUUCGGAUGGAUAGUG